rnacentral:rRNA from 1 species
AACGAACGCUGGCGGCAUGCCUAACACAUGCAAGUCGAACGAGACCUUCGGGUCUAGUGGCGCACGGGUGCGUAACGCGUGGGAACCUGCCUUUAGGUUCGGAAUAACUCAGAGAAAUUUGAGCUAAUACCGGAUAAUGUCUUCGGACCAAAGAUUUAUCGCCUUUAGAUGGGCCCGCGUUGGAUUAGCUAGUUGGUGGGGUAAAGGCCUACCAAGGCGACGAUCCAUAGCUGGUCUGAGAGGAUGAUCAGCCACACUGGGACUGAGACACGGCCCAGACUCCUACGGGAGGCAGCAGUGGGGAAUUUUGGACAAUGGACGCAAGUCUGAUCCAGCCAUUCCGCGUGCAGGAUGAAGGCCUCGGGUUGUAACUGCUUUGUACGGACGAAACGGUGAGCUCUAAUACAG